rnacentral:rRNA from 1 species
UACGGAGGGUGCAAGCGUUGUUCGGAUUUACUGGGCGUAAAGCGCGUGCAGGCGGCUUGUUAAGUCGUGCGUGAAAGCUCCCUGGCUCAACCGGGAGAGGUCGUACGAAACUAGCGAGCUUGAGGGCAGCAGAGGAGUGUGGAAUUCCGGGUGUAGUGGUGAAAUGCGUAGAUAUCCGGAGGAACACCAGUGGCGAAGGCGGCACUCUGGGCUGUACCUGACGCUAAGACGCGAAAGCAUGGGUAGCGAACGGG